UACAGAGGUCCCGAGCGUUGUUCGGAUUCACUGGGCGUAAAGGGUGCGUAGGUGGUGAGGAAAGUCGGAUGUGAAAUCUCCGGGCUUAACCCGGAAAUGGCAUUGGAAACUACCUUGCUAGAGGUUUUGAGAGGAGACUGGAAUUCAUGGUGUAGCAGUGAAAUGCGUAGAGAUCAUGAGGAAGACCAGUGGCGAAGGCGGGUCUCUGGACAGUUCCUGACACUGAGGCACGAAGGCCAGGGGAGCAAACGGG
rnacentral:rRNA from 1 species